CAGCUUCCGAGGGUCUGCAGACAGGGAAGUCGGUGGCACCCAGAGGGUCAUCCCAGUGCGGAUGGGGGAGUCUUCUACCCUUCCCAGAGGGUCACCCCAGUGUGGAUGGGGGAGUCUUCUACCCUUCCUACAAUAACCCCUGGAAAUCUCCAAAAACACACAGCAUUUCCAGAGUUUUCCCCAAAGUAAGAAAUUGAAGAGAAAAAAAAAAACACCCUCUAAGGACAACAACCCACUCUCAUUUGUUGGCGCCCUGAGGCAUCUGACAACAAUAACAACAACAACAAAAAAAAAUAGCCAUAGCCAUCACCCCAGUUUGGAAACAUUCUUCAACCACAGACCUGGCUCCAGGUUGCUUCUGAGGUCUCACAAAGUGACGGCUUUCUCUGAGCCCUUUCCUGGUAGUGAUUUAGAAUUCUGCAAACAAUCUAGAAUACAGGCCUCAGCCCUCUUCAUCACUAACAAUUCUGUUUUCACACUUAUCCAGCCAAGUUGCGAGAGAAACCCCUGAAGUAGUCUAAAACACAUAUUCAGUUAUCAAAAUUUUUGGUCCUCAAGUCACUUUGAUUUUACUAAAAGCAAUCAUUUGAAGGACAUCUUGUCAGCUGGAAUCCCAAACAAACAGACGAGCGUGAAACAGGAGAAAAAAGAACAGAAAAAUAAACGUGAAAGAGCUACAUAAUGUGAGAUACCAUCUACUCAAAAGUGUUUUAAUAAGCAGAUUUUGUUGAUUUAUACAUUUCUAUUGCGUGAAUAGAUUCAUUGGAUCUGUAAAACAACACCGGAUUUUAAGGGAUUUUAAACUACAUUUGCUUAAAGACACGGGGCAUUAUCCAAGGGCUGCCAUUCUGUAUGUUGAUACAGCUGUUGACCUACCAGAACCUACAUACUUGAUGAUAAUAACUCAAAAACUGUCUCUUUACCAGCCUUUAAUCAAGUAGGAAAGAUUUGUUGGAGCUCUCACUGCCUUCUAUAAAACCUGCUGUUUGGUACCCAUGGAAUACCAAAUUCUCACAACUGCUAGGCCACUCGCUAGUGCUGUAUAUCCAUACAAUUCUGUCCCAGACCCUGCCUUGUAUGCCUAGCAACAUGUGAAGAUUUCUAUUUCUAAAUCCAGUCAUUCCAGUUGUACUUAUUACUGUCAUUAUGCAGUCUCAUUAAAUAUUAUUAAAAGCAAUUAUUAUGGAUAUGAAGAACAAAAGAUCUACUUCCUCUACAAAAACCAAAUCAAAUGCAUUGAAAAGAGACAAUAAAGUCAGGUCACCUUAAAAAUAAAUACUGUCAUCUUAAGUUUGACCAAGACAACCAUAAAAGAUUGAGGAAGGAAAUCAGAUCAUUUAAAAAUGGGAAGAAUAGUGGUCUUAGAUUGCUUUGUAAGUUUCUGUAAGUUCCUCCUUCACCUAAGAAACUGAAGCUUCACAUGGCCAAUGAUGCUGUGUAGGUGUCACUUGUCUGUGAGAGCCAAUGAAGAACAUUAAUCAGAAGAACCAAACUCAAGAACAAGGUCAUUUCCUGCUUCACAAGGGCCAUCUUUACUUUGAAAGAUACAGAAAGACUGUGUAUAUCCUUGCUUGUGAUCUUCCCAAUCAGUAGCAUCUGUUUCUAGGUCAGAUGGCAUACAAGUUCCUCCUCUGCUAAGAGUUACUGCUUUUGUGCCUCCCCAAAAAGAUAUAAUAAAAAUAAGAUUGAAUAUGGUCUUUUAAUCUUGGAGUCAUAAAAGAAAUGUUGAGGGGCAGGGGCUCAAAUCACUCCCAGAUGAGACACCACAACUUGAAAAGUGAUAGAGCAUAUGGCUUUGCAUGUGUGAGGCUUCCUCUUGGAAAACAAUAAAGGCAAAUCACAGACAGGAUCGGGAACACUGAUUAUUGCUUGGGUGUAAUUUAUUAUAUCUUAGAUUCUGGAAAACAAAACAUAGCAACAUGCUUCACUCUUGUCAUGCAGAGAAUCUGUGACUAUUUCUCUGUAGAUAAUCAGAGCCCGGAUAAUGGUCCUGAGAUUGUCUAGGUGCCACUGUGAAAAAUGCCUCAACCACAAAUGGAUUUCUAAGUAGCCAGACCUAAUGGGCCACCUUUAAUGAUCAACAGAGCCAAAUCUUGUUAUUUCAUACUUAAGGUAACUGGAGCAGGUAAACCACAUAUGAUCUGAUCAGUGUACUCAUUAAAGAAAAAGUUGAUGUAUUUGCUCUAAUAUAUGUCCCUGUGUCAGAUAUAUGUGCCAAUGACACAUCAGAAAAAUUUCUGUUAAGUAGAUAAUCAUUGAUUAACCUAAUUAAUUUCAUAAAUUAAUUUUCCCCAUAACUAUAAUAAAACUUUUUAUGAUGUGGUUUGAUAUAUACAGAUUAUAAAAUAUCCAGGUUAAACCAUGUCUAUGCAAACACUUCCUAAAAUGUGGAUACUAUAAUACAACGUUACUUGCCUCCAUCUCAGGAGGCUUUCCUUUUUGAUAUACCUAUCAUCCCUCUGGUGAUAUUUAAUUAGGAAUAAUUACUGCAAUCAUUUACCUUAACUUAACCAUCUUGGUCAAACUACUUUCUCUCUAAAUUCUAAAAAAGAUCCACCAUGAAAGGUGAGUCACCUUGAAAUCAUACCAUUAUGAUGAAAAUUGCCAGGAUCACCAUAGCUUACUGCCACAAGGCACAGUCAUCUUUGUCUUAGCAGAGUUCUAAGAGGAAAUCUUAGGAUGCACUGUACUACAGUUCACUUUUAAGAGCUGGUAACCACCUGGGACUCCAUUAAUCCUGACUUACUAAAAAAGAGAUAUCAAAGAAAAAAGCAUAUUGUCCACUUCCUUAUUUUUAUUUUAAACUCCAGAAUUUCCUUAACAAAAUGUAAUUCCAAUGCAAGCAUUCUAAAUGGGAAGUUUAACUGAUAAAUAAAGUUGUGUUCUCAAGGUGGUAGAAAGAAGAUAGGAAGGAGGGAGGGAGAAAGGAAUGGGGGGAGGAAGGGAGGAAGAGAUGGGGAGAGAAGAAAAAAAGGAAGGGGUGGGAGAAAAAGAUGGCAUGUUUUCUCUAAAGAAAUUUUUUUUUUUUUUUUUUUUUUUUUUUGAGGCAUGGACUUGUUCUGCCAGCUAGGCUGGAGUGCAGUGGUGCAAUCAUAGUUUACUGCAGCCUUGAACUUCUGGGCUCAAGUAAUCCCCUGCCUCAGCCUCCCACAGCAGUGGGAUUAUAGGAAUGAGUCACCAUGCCCAGCCAUUGUUUUUUAAAUAUUACUUUUAAACAAGGAAAAGAGAUAUGCAGCCACUAAUUGAAUAGCUAAAGCUUUCUUGAUGUGAUGACUACAUAACACUCUCAGAGAAAAAUUCUAAGAGGUGCGGGAGAGUGUAAAAUUGUAGGGAGUUGUGAACUAUUCCCUAUCCACCAUCACACUCUAUCAACAGAGGGUUUUAAAAUCUGCAUUCAGUUGGAGCCUAGACUGGGGGCACCUCAAAGAGCUGGAAGCAUUGGUCAUCCUCUGACCCCAGCACAAAAUUACGAAGGGUGAUCAACAAUGUAAUAUUGAUAAAGACAUAAAUGUUGAGUGAGUUUAAAUAUUAGGUACUAUGUCAUACUUUUCUCCCUCAUACACAGCAUCUUCAAUUUUAAAAGUCCAUAGAAUGAAAAGACAGGUGCAUAUGGAUGUUAACUGCAGCAGCACUUAGCCAAAAAAAAGUGAAUAUUACAAAAAUGAGCAUCAAU
rnacentral:lncRNA from 10 species